rnacentral:rRNA from 1 species
AUUGAACGCUGGCGGCAGGCCUAACACAUGCAAGUCGAACGAGUGGCGGACGGGUGAGUAAUGUCUGGGAAACUGCCUGAUGGAGGGGGAUAACUACUGGAAACGGUAGCUAAUACCGCAUACCCUCUGAUGUGCCCCGAUGGGAUUAGCUAGUAGGUGUGGUAAAGGCUCACCUAGGCGACGAUCCCUAGCUGGUCUGCGAGGAUGACCAGCCACACGGGAACUGAGACACGGUCCAGAAGCCUACGGGAGGCAGCAGUGGGGAAGAUUGCACAAUGGGCGCAAGCCUGAUGCAGCCAUGCCGCGUGUAUGAAGAAGGCCUUCGGGUUGUAAAGUACUUUCAGCGGGGAGGCGUUACCCGCAGAAGAAGCACCGGCUAACUCCGUGCCAGCCGCCGCGGUAAUAC